rnacentral:rRNA from 1 species
AGCAGCCGCGGUAAUUCCAGCUCCAAUAGCGUAUAUUAAAGUUGUUGCAGUUAAAAAGCUCGUAGUUGAAUUUCGGGAUCAAUACGUCGGUCGUGCUUCGGUACGUACUGGCGUCAUUGAUUUCUCCCUUCUGACGAACCAUGAUGUCAUUAACUUGGUGUCAUGGGAAAUCAGGACUGUUACUUUGAAAAAAUUAGAGUGUUUAAAGCAGGCUCACGCUUGAAUACAUUAGCAUGGAAUAAUGAAAUAGGACGUUCGAUCCUAUUUUGUUGGUUUUUAGGAUCAACGUAAUGAUUAAUAGGGAUAGUUGGGGGCAUUAGUAUUCAAUUGUCAGAGGUGAAAUUCUUGGAUUUAUUGAAGACUAGCUACUGCGAAAGCAUUUGCCAAGGAUGUUUUCAUUAAUCAAGAACGAAAGUUAGGGGAUCGAAGACGAUCAGAUACCGUCGUAGUCUUAACCAUAAACUAUGCCGACUAGGGAUCGGAUGAUGUUAAUUUUUUAAUGACUCAUUCGGCGCCUUAC